rnacentral:rRNA from 1 species
UACGGAGGGGGCAAGCGUUGUUCGGAAUUACUGGGCGUAAAGGGCGCGCAGGCGGCUGCUCAAGUCAGGCGUGAAAGGCCUGGGCUCAACCCGGGAAUUGCGCUUGAGACUGGGCUGGCUUGAGUGCGGGAGAGGAUGGUGGAAUUCCCAGUGUAGAGGUGAAAUUCGUAGAUAUUGGGAGGAACACCAGUGGCGAAGGCGGCUCACUGGACCGGUUCUGACGCUGAGGCGCGAAAGCGUGGGGAGCAAACGGG